CCUACGGGGGGCUGCAGUAACGAAUCUUCCGCAAUGCACGAAAGUGUGACGGAGCGACGCCGCGUGUAGGACGAAGCCCUUCGGGGUGUAAACUACUGUCAGGGGUUAGAAAGUUCUGAUCAACCCCAGAGGAAGGCACGGCUAACUCUGUGCCAGCAGCCGCGGUAAGACAGAGGUGCCAAGCGUUAGGCGGAAUCACUGGGCUUAAAGCGUGUGUAGGCGGACUUGUAAGUACCUUGUGAAAUCCCACGGCUCAACCGUGGAACUGCUUGGUAUACUGCUUGUCUUGAGCCACUUAGGGGCUACCGGAACAAAUGGUGGAGCGGUGAAAUGCGUAGAUAUCAUUUGGAACGCCAAUGGUGAAAACAGGUAGCUGGGAGUGUGCUGACGCUGAGACACGAAAGCCAGGGGAGCGAACGGGAUUAGAUACCCUUGUAGUC
rnacentral:rRNA from 1 species